rnacentral:rRNA from 1 species
AUUGAACGCUGGCGGCAGGCUUAACACAUGCAAGUCGAGCGGGGAAGGGUAGCUUGCUACCUAACCUAGCGGCGGACGGGUGAGUAAUGCUUAGGAAUCUGCCUAUUAGUGGGGGACAACGUUUCGAAAGGAACGCUAAUACCGCAUACGCCCUACGGGGGAAAGCAGGGGAUCUUCGGACCUUGCGCUAAUAGAUGAGCCUAAGUCAGAUUAGCUAGUUGGUGGGGUAAAGGCCUACAAGGCGACGAUCUGUAGCGGGUCUGAGAGGAUGAUCCGCCACACUGGGACUGAGACACGGCCCAGACUCCUACGGGAGGCAGCAGUGGGGAAUAUUGGACAAUGGGGGGAACCCUGAUCCAGCCAUGCCGCGUGUGUGAAGAAGGCCUUUUGGUUGUAAAGCACUUUAAGCGAGGAGGAGGCUCUUCUAGUUAAUACCUAGGAUGAGUGGACGUUACUCGCAGAAUAAGCACCGGCUAACUCUGUGCCAGCAGCCGCGGUAAAAC